rnacentral:lncRNA from 1 species
GAAGACAAAAUUAUUGUUGGAGCUUUCAUACUUUCUAUCAAUGUAGCUUCCAUCCUUGCCCCAAACCCUCUAGACUUCACACAGUAUUCCUUAGCAUUGAGGGUCAUUGCCUCCUUCAACCUUCUCCAAUCAGUAGUAAAAUCACUUUCUAUUGUUCUAUCUUCUAAUACCUCAUUUACAGCUUGUAAGAAUAACUUUGAUUUUCUCACCUCUAGAAGACACUUCUCAGAUAAUAGAAGUUGUCCAAAUUUCUUUUCAAACUCUUUUAGCAACU